rnacentral:rRNA from 1 species
CCCUUAGAUGUUCUGGGCUGCACGCGUGCUACACUGAUAUUGCCAAUAUGUCAUUCUUAUCCGAAAUGGAUUGGGUAAUCAAGUAAUGAAAUUUCAUGCUUGGAAUCGGUAAUUGCAAUUUUAUCGUGAACGAGGAAUUCCUAGUAAGCACUAGUCAUCAGCUAAUGUUGAUUAUGUCCCUGCCCUUUGUACACACCGCCCGUCGCUACUACUGAUUGGGUGUUCAAGUGAGAUGCUUAGACCCUUGUUGCAUGGUUCAUUAUUGUGCUCCGAAAGGAAAAAGUUUCAAGCUUGAGUGUCUAGAGGAAGUAAAAUUCGUAACA